rnacentral:rRNA from 1 species
UACGUAGGGUCCGAGCGUUGCCCGGAAUUAUUGGGCGUAAAGGGCUCGUAGGCGGUUCGUCACGUCGGGAGUGAAAACUCGGAGCUUAACUCCGAGCCUGCUUCCGAUACGGGCAGACUAGAGGUAGGCAGGGGAGAGCGGAACUCCUGGUGUAGCGGUGGAAUGCGCAGAUAUCAGGAAGAACGCCGGUGGCGAAGGCGGCUCUCUGGGCCUUACCUGACGCUGAGGAGCGAAAGCGUGGGUAGCGAACAGG